UACGUAGGGUGCGAGCGUUAAUCGGAAUUACUGGGCGUAAAGCGUGCGCAGGCGGUGAGCUGUGUCCGAUGUGAAAGCCCCGGGCUUAACCUGGGAAUGGCAUUGGAAACUGGCUCGCUGGAGUGUGGCAGAGGGGGGUGGAAUUCCGCGUGUAGCAGUGAAAUGCGUAGAGAUGCGGAGGAACACCAGUGGCGAAGGCGGCCUGCUGGGCAGUAGCUGACGCUGAGGCGCGACAGCGUGGGGAGCAAACAGG
rnacentral:rRNA from 1 species